rnacentral:rRNA from 1 species
UACGAAGGGGGCUAGCGUUGCUCGGAAUUACUGGGCGUAAAGCGCACGUAGGCGGCUUUCUAAGUCUGAUGUGAAAUCCUGGAGCUCAACUCCAGAACUGCCUUCGAUACUGGAGAGCUUGAGUCCGGGAGAGGUGAGUGGAACUGCGAGUGUAGAGGUGAAAUUCGUAGAUAUUCGCAAGAACACCAGUGGCGAAGGCGGCUCACUGGCCCGGUACUGACGCUGAGGUGCGAGAGCGUGGGGAGCGAACCGG